AGAGUUUGAUCAUGGCUCAGGACAAACGCUGGCGGCGUGCCUAACACAUGCAAGUCGAACGCGAGUCUGGUUUCGGCCAGGGCUCGAGUGGCGGACGGGUGAGUAACACGUGAAUAACCUGCCUGGGUGUGGGGGAUAGCCUUCAGAAAUGAGGGAUAAUACCGCAUACGCUUGGGGGGAGAGGGGACUCUUCUUUCAAGGGAAGCUAUUGCGUCGCAGGGCGUGAUGGCGCAUUCAGAGGGGUUCGCGGCCGAUUAGCUAGUUGGUGUGGUAAGAGCGCACCAAGGCGACGAUCGGUAGCUGGUCUGAGAGGAUGGUCAGCCACACUGGGAUUGAGAACGGCCCAGACUCCUACGGGGGGCAGCAGUGAGGGAUCUUCGGCAAUGGGGGCAACCCUGACCGAGCAACGCCGCGUGCGGGACGACGCCUUUCGGGGUGUAAACCGCUUUUCUGGGGGACGAGGAUUGUACGGACGGUACCCCAGGAAGAAGUCUCGGCUAACUACGUGCCAGCAGCCGCGGUAAUACGUAGGAGACGAGCGUUGUCCGGAGUUACUGGGCGUAAAGGGUGCGCAGGUGGCGGCGCGCGUGGGGGGUGAAAUCGCCCGGCUUAACUGGGCGGGGGCCUUCCAGACGGCGUGGCUUGAGCAGCGGAGGGGGACGUGGAAUUCCGGGUGGAGCGGUGAAAUGCGUAGAGAUCCGGAGGAACACCGACGGCGCAGGCAGCGUCCUGGCCGCUUGCUGACACUGAGGCACGAAAGCUGGGGGAGCAAACAGGAUUAGAUACCCUAGUAGUCC
rnacentral:rRNA from 1 species